UACGGGAGGCAGCAGUGGGGAAUAUUGGACAAUGGGGGCAACCCUGAUCCAGCCAUGCCGCGUGUGUGAAGAAGGCCUUCGGGUUGUAAAGCACUUUUGUUGGGGAAGAAACCGGCCGGGUUAAUACCCUGGUUGAAUGACGGUACCCAAAGAAUAAGCACCGGCUAACUUCGUGCCAGCAGCCGCGGUAAUACGAAGGGUGCAAGCGUUACUCGGAAUUACUGGGCGUAAAGCGUGCGUAGGCGGUUUGUUAAGUCUGCUGUGAAAGCCCUGGGCUCAACCUGGGAACUGCAGUGGAUACUGGCGAGCUAGAGUGUGUCAGAGGAUGGUGGAAUUCCCGGUGUAGCGGUGAAAUGCGUAGAGAUCGGGAGGAACACCAGUGGCGAAGGCGGCCAUCUGGGACAACACUGACGCUGAGGCACGAAAGCGUGGGGAGCAAACAGGAUUAGAUACCCUGGUAGUCCACGCCCUAAACGAUGCGAACUGGACGUUGGGCACACUUAGGUGCUCAGUGUCGCAGCUAACGCGUAAG
rnacentral:rRNA from 1 species